UAUAAAUAGUAGAUGAUUUACACAAAUUUUUGAUAUUUGAGAGGAAAGUUUGACUCUUUUUUUAUAU
rnacentral:tRNA from 1 species